rnacentral:rRNA from 1 species
UACGUAGGGUGCGAGCGUUAAUCGGAAUUACUGGGCGUAAAGCGUGCGCAGGCGGUUGUGCAAGACAGAUGUGAAAUCCCCGGGCUCAACCUGGGAAUUGCAUUUGUGACUGCACGGCUAGAGUGUGUCAGAGGGGGGUAGAAUUCCACGUGUAGCAGUGAAAUGCGUAGAGAUGUGGAGGAAUACCGAUGGCGAAGGCAGCCCCCUGGGAUAACACUGACGCUCAUGCACGAAAGCGUGGGGGGCGAAACAGG